rnacentral:rRNA from 1 species
UACGUAGGUGGCAAGCGUUGUCCGGAAUUAUUGGGCGUAAAGCGCGCGCAGGUGGUUUCUUAAGUCUGAUGUGAAAGCCCACGGCUCAACCGUGGAGGGUCAUUGGAAACUGGGGAACUUGAGUGCAGAAGAGGAAAGUGGAAUUCCAAGUGUAGCGGUGAAAUGCGUAGAGAUUUGGAGGAACACCAGUGGCGAAGGCGGCAUCCUGGACCGGCAUUGACGCUGACGGCGCGAAAGCUGAGGGGAGCAAACAGGGGAU